rnacentral:lncRNA from 1 species
GUUAAUGUUUCGAAUAAAAUUUUAGCUCCAUGUACAUGCUAGAAUAUUGUAAAAUGGUUCCACUUUUCAUCUGUGAAAAUCACUGGACUGGCUGCUAUAUAUAUCUUUGUGUAAUAUUGUUGGUUUUGCUAAUAAACAUUAGUGUGAAAUGUGUGUUUUAUUAUAGCUACAUUGGUAAAAUUCAAUGGAACAUUUUGAAUCGAAAGACACGUUACUACUUAUAUCAACACGUACAGCAAACAGUGG